rnacentral:rRNA from 1 species
GACGAACGCUGGCGGCGUGUCUAAUACAUGCCAGUCGAGCGAGCUUGCCUAGAUGAAUUUGGUGCUUGCACCAAAUGAAACUAGAUACAAGCGAGCGGCGGACGGGUGAGUAACACGUGGGUAACCUGCCCAAGAGACUGGGAUAACACCUGGAAACAGAUGCUAAUACCGGAUAACAACACUAGACGCAUGUCUAGAGUUUAAAAGAUGGUUCUGCUGUCACUCUUGGAUGGACCUGCGGUGCAUUAGCUAGUUGGUAAGGCAACGGCUUACCAAGGCAAUGAUGCAUAGCCGAGUUGAGAGACUGAUCGGCCACAUUGGGACUGAGACACGGCCCAAACUCCUACGGGAGGCAGCAGUAGGGAAUCUUCCACAAUGGACGCAAUUCUGAUGGAGCAACGCCGCGUGAGUGAAGAAGGGUUUCGGCUCGUAAAGCUCUGUUGGUAGUGAAGAAAGAUAGAGGUAGUAACUGGCCUUUAUUUGACGGUAAUUACUUAGAAAGUCACGGCUAACUACGUG